rnacentral:rRNA from 1 species
AGCUGGGGUAGUAAGAGGUGCUCUUGAAACCUGAGGGUUUUGGCGGUCUUCUUUCUUAUUAGAGGAACUUGCUCUUUAAUCGAUAAUCCUCGUUAAAUUUAACUUAAUUUUUGUUUGUAUAUCGCUGUUGAUGAUAUCUUUUAAGUGGGAUAUUUGUUAAAAGAGAUUUCAAUACAUCAAGUCAAGGUGCAGUUUGUAAUUAAGGCUGAAGUGAGUUACUAUGGGGUUUUGUGGGUGAUUUAGUGUAAUUGAAUCAAAAAUUGGAUUUAAUAGUAAU